rnacentral:rRNA from 1 species
UACGGAGGGUGCAAACGUUGUCCGGAAUUACUGGGCGUAAAGAGCAUGUAGGCGGCUAGGUAAGUGAGCGAUUAAAUCCCGAUGCUCAACAUCGGAUCGGUUGCUCAUACUGCCCUGCUUGAGAAUGACAGGGGUAAGCGGAACUUUAGGUGUAGGAGUGAAAUCCGUAGAUAUCUAAAGGAACACCAAUGGCGAAGGCAGCUUACUGGGUCAUUUCUGACGCUGAGAUGCGAAAGCGUGGGGAGCGAACGGG